rnacentral:rRNA from 1 species
AUUGAACGCUGGCGGCAUGCCUUACACAUGCAAGUCGAACGGCAGCACGGGAGCUUGCUCCUGGUGGCGAGUGGCGAACGGGUGAGUAAAGUAUCGGAACAUGCCCUGAAGUGGGGGAUAACGUAGCGAAAGUUACGCUAAUACCGCAUAUUCUGUGAGCAGGAAAGCAGGGGAUCGCAAGACUCUGCGCUUUAGGAGUGGCCGAUACCGGAUUAGCUAGUUGGUGAGGUAGGGGCUCACCAAGGCGACGAUCCGUAGCGAGUCUGAGAGGAUGAUCCGCCACACUGGGGCUGAGACACGGCCCAGACUCCUACGGGAGGCAGCAGUGGGGAAUUUUGGACAAUGGGCGCAAGCCUGAUCCAGCCAUGCCGCGUGAGUGAAGAAGGCCUUCGGGUUGUAAAGCUCUUUCGGCGGGGAAGAAAUGGCGCUUUCUAAUACAGGGCGUUGAUGACGGUACCCGCAUAAGAAGCACCGGCUAACUACGUGCCAGCCGCCGCCGUAACAC